rnacentral:rRNA from 56 species
AAAACUUUCAACAACGGAUCUCUUGGUUCUGGCAUCGAUGAAGAACGCAGCGAAAUGCGAUAAGUAAUGUGAAUUGCAGAAUUCAGUGAAUCAUCGAAUCUUUGAACGCACAUUGCGCCCCUUGGUAUUCCGAGGGGCAUGCCUGUUCGAGCGUCAUUU